GGAGGGGUUCCCGAGUGGCCAAAGGGAUCAGACUGUAAAUCUGACACGCGAGUUUCGAAGGUUCGAAUCCUUCCCCCUCCA
rnacentral:tRNA from 4 species